CGGUGUGAGGGAGAUCUGUUUGCAACAUCUGUCACCCCAUCGAUCUCCAGGGUUGAUUCUGCUGAUCUGGCUGGCCAGGUGGGUGUCCUCUUUCUCCCUUGCCAUUCAAGUAUGUCUCUCUCAAAGCUGCAGGCUCAGUGGAAGAGGACAGACUUCCCUGAAAAGAGACGGACUAGUCUUGUUCGAGGGUAUAUGAGUAGCUGUGCUUCCCUGCUAGAACCUCCAAACAAGCUCUCAAGAUCAGUUGUAUUUCUAGUUCAAGUAGAAUUUUCAAGAAGGGUUUUU
rnacentral:snRNA from 1 species